rnacentral:rRNA from 1 species
GGAGGAUCCAAGCGUUAUCCGGAUUUAUUGGGUUUAAAGGGUGCGUASGCGGCUUAUUAAGUCAGGGGUGAAAGACGGUGGCUCAACCAUCGCAGUGCCCUUGAUACUGAUGAGCUUGAAUGAACUAGAGGUAGGCGGAAUGUGACAAGUAGCGGUGAAAUGCAUAGAUAUGUCACAGAACACCGAUUGCGAAGGCAGCUUACUAUGGUUUUAUUGACGCUGAGGCACGAAAGCGUGGGGAUCAAACAGGAUUAGAUACCCUGGUAGUCCACGCCCUAAACGAUGAAUACUCGCUGUUAGCGAUAUACAGUUAGCGGCUAAGCGAAAGCGUUAAGUAUUCCACCUGGGGAGUACGCCCGCAAGGGUG